rnacentral:ncRNA from 1 species
UCGCGAUAAUAGCAAACCUGCCGCAAAGGCAGCGACGCAAAACUACAGGGCCUAAGGGUGAAUACCUAUGGCAGCCAGUUACCGAA